AGAGUUUGAUCAUGGCUCAGAACGAACGUUAGCGGCGCGCUUAACACAUGCAAGUCGAGCGAGAAAGGGGAAACCCCGGUAAAGCGGCGCACGGGUGAGUAACACGUAGGUAAUCUGCCCCUGAGUGGUGGAUAACCUUCCGAAGGGAGGGCUAAUACAGCAUAAGACCACGGCCCCGCAAGGGGACGAGGUCAAAGCCGGCCUCUGUACACAAGCUGGCGCUCGGGGAUGAGCCUGCGGCCCAUCAGCUAGUUGGUAGGGUAAUGGCCUACCAAGGCGAAGACGGGUAGCUGGUCUGAGAGGAUGAUCAGCCACACUGGAACUGAGACACGGUCCAGACUCCUACGGGAGGCAGCAGUGGGGAAUCUUGCGCAAUGGGCGAAAGCCUGACGCAGCGACGCCGCGUGAGUGAUGAAGGCCUUCGGGUUGUAAAGCUCUGUGGAAAGGGACGAAUAAGUCGGAGCGAAUAGCUCCGAUGAUGACGGUACCUCUUUAGCAAGCACCGGCUAACUCUGUGCCAGCAGCCGCGGUAAGACAGAGGGUGCAAACGUUGUUCGGAAUUACUGGGCGUAAAGCGCGUGUAGGCUGCUUCGCAAGUCGGGUGUGAAAGCCCUGGGCUCAACCUAGGAAGUGCACUCGAAACUGCGGAGCUUGAGUCUCGGAGAGGAUCGCGGAAUUCUCGGUGUAGAGGUGAAAUUCGUAGAUAUCAGGAAGAACACCCGUGGCGAAAGCGGCUCUCUGGAACGGUACUGACGCUGAGACGCGAAAGCGUGGGGAGCGAACAGGAUUAGAUACCCUGGUAGUCCGCGCCGUAAACGAUGGGCGCUAGGUGUGGGAGGUGUCGACUCCUUCCGUGCCGAAGCUAACGCAUUAAGCGCCC
rnacentral:rRNA from 1 species